rnacentral:lncRNA from 1 species
AUGGCAACCACAUUAAAGAUGGCCCUACCCUUGUUGAUAAUGGUUCUUGCAACCUACAUCACCACUGAAGCAGCCCUUUUGAGAAAAUCAUCUGCCACUGACUUUCUGACCAGAGGCAGAGAUAAGCGCUCUCCAGAGUGUUCUGAAGUAGAGUGCAGCAUUGAGGAAAAUGAGCCAGAAGAGCUGCUUGAGUCUAAAUCUGACUAUGAUGAAAAACUAAACUUGGGACAAAAUGGUGGAACCAAAACAGGGAAACAACAGAAUGAGAAUAAAUCUAACUUCGAGGAAGGCUCUGGCAUGUAGCUCACUGACACUCAGCAUUAGAAACUGAGCAAGACCCUUACAAGAUGUUAAAAGCAUCUCUAGAGUCUUUAGUGCAUGAUGGGAAAGUAUUAUUAAGUCCUAAUAUUAUUCGUGGAUCAUAUCUCAUAAAACUGUAAUGGAAAAACAUUUGUAUAAGAAAUUAGAAUUUUCAACCAUGUAAGGUUGUGAAAACAUAAAAAGUCAGUUUACUGCACUAUACAGUAUGUAUUUUUGAUUUAGGAUUUACAAAAAGGUGCACCUCAAAUGCAUUUCACACAAUAUGUGGGAAUGGAUCCAUUUUGUGGUUAGAAUGUAACACUAAAUCAAAAAUGCAUUUACAAUUUUGAAUGAUGUAAUUGGUAUAUAAAAGAUUAAAACUUUUAAAACUUUUAUUUUAUACCAUAUGUCAAACAGUUUAAAAGCAAGUAUUAACUGGUAAUGUUGAUCAAAUGGUGCUUGUCAGCCUUGGUGCUCAUUUUCAUUAUUUUCAUGAGGGAUACAAUCCAGACAAAGUAUGUCCGGUGCUAAAUUGUAUUCUAACAAAUAGGCAGCCAACUAUAUUUGUCUUUGGUGUAACAAACAGGUGCUGAACUUAAAUUGUACUGGUUUAAAAUACAGAUGAGCUGCUGUGAUAAUGAUUUUAAGCCUUAGCUUUGAAACCUAAAUAUACCGACCUGGUAGAAGAAGGCUUAACAGAAUUUCUUGACAUGGUUUUAUUAAUGACACAUCAAAGUACAUUUUCUUAAGAUAAAACAAACACCCAGGAACUUUGUAAAGUUCCAUAUGUUUUUAACGCCUUGAUGAACUAAUUACUGUUGCUGCUUAUUUGUUGCAGUAGUCAUUCACAGCAGCACCACAGAUGAUGGAAAGGGGAAAUGCUGUAUAAUGUGUGAUACAGUAUGUACUGUACCUUCAUCAUCUUUACAUGACGAUGAAUCAUAGGCACUCUAUUCUAUUCUUAUAGCAAUCCACCUCCCGCUGUUAGGAUUAAUGAAUAGAGUAGACUGUGUGUAAUCUCUGUUUACGUUCUUUAAUAAAGCAUGCUUGCACAAG